rnacentral:rRNA from 1 species
GGAAUAUUGGACAAUGGGCGAAAGCCUGAUCCAGCAAUGCCGCGUGAGUGAUGAAGGCCUUAGGGUUGUAAAGCUCUUUUACUGGGGAUGAUAAUGACAGCACCCAGAGAAUAAGCUCCGGCUAACUCCGUGCCAGCAGCCGCGGUACUACGGAGGGAGCUAGCGUUGUUCGGAAUUACUGGGCGUAAAGCGCACGUAGGCGGCUUUUUAAGUCAGGGGUGAAAUCCCGGGGCUCAACCCCGGAACUGCCCUUGAAACUGGGAAGCUAGAAUCUUGGAGAGGCGAGUGGAAUUCCGAGUGUAGAGGUGAAAUUCGUAGAUAUUCGGAAGAACACCAGUGGCGAAGGCGACUCUCUGGUCUACACCUGACGCUGAGGUGCGAAAGCGUGGGUAGC